UACGUAGGGGGCAAGCGUUGUCCGGAAUCAUUGGGCGUAAAGCGCGUGUAGGCGGCCCGGUAAGUCCGCUGUGAAAGUCGGGGGCUCAACCCUCGAAUGCCGGUGGAUACUGUCGGGCUAGAGUGCGGAAGAGGCGAGUGGAAUUCCUGGUGUAGCGGUGAAAUGCGCAGAUAUCAGGAGGAACACCGGUGGCGAAGGCGGCUUCCUGGACCGACACUGACGCUGAGGCGCGAAAGCUAGGGGAGCAAACAGG
rnacentral:rRNA from 1 species